GGUCCCAUACAGACAGCCCACUGAUCCCAUAGGGACAGUCUGCUGAUCCCAUACGGACAGCCUGCUGAUCCCAUAGUGACAGCCUGCUGAUCCCAUGGUGACAUUACGGUGAUCCCAUAGUGACAGCCUUCUGAUCCCAUAGUGUCAGCCUGGUACUGCUAUGGUGGGAUCCUGCUGAUCCCAUAGCAACAUCCUGCUGAUCUCAUAGGGACAGCCUGGUGAUCCCAUAGUGACAGCUUGCUGAUCCCAUAGGGACAUCCUGGUGAUCCCAUACAGACAGCCUUCUGAUCCCAUGGUGACGUUGCGGUGAUCCCAUAGUGACAGCCUGCUGAUCCCAUAGUGACAUCCUGGUGAUCCCAUACAGACAGCCCACUGAUCCCAUACGGACAGCUGCUGAUCCCAUAAUGAGAUCCUGCUGAUCCCAUGGUGACAUCCUUGUGAUCCUGUGGUGACAUCCUGCUGAUCCCAUGGUGACAUCCUGGUGAUCCCAUAGUGAGGUCCUGGUGAUCCCAUGGGGACAUCCUGGUGCUGCCAUGGUGACAUCCUGGUGAUCCCAUAGUGACAUCCUGGUGAUCCCAUGGGGACAUUCAGGUGAUCCCAUGGUGAGAUCCUGGUACUGCCAUGGUGACAUUCAGGUGAUCCCAGGGGACAUUUAGGUGAUCCCAUGGGGACAUCGCACUGAUCCAUGGUCAAAUCCUGGUGAUCCU
rnacentral:lncRNA from 7 species